rnacentral:siRNA from 1 species
UUGAAGGUGAAUUCCAUUGCGG